UACGGAGGGUGCAAGCGUUGUCCGGAUUUAUUGGGUUUAAAGGGUGCGUAGGCGGCUCUUUAAGUCAGUGGUGAAAGCCGACAGCUUAACUGUCGAAAUGCCAUUGAUACUGGGGAGUUUGAGUACAGUAGAGGUAGGCGGAAUUAAUGGUGUAGCGGUGAAAUGCAUAGAUACCAUUAAGAACACCGAUUGCGAAGGCAGCUUACUAUAGUGUAACUGACGCUGAGGCACGAAAGUGUGGGGAUCAAACAGG
rnacentral:rRNA from 1 species